rnacentral:rRNA from 2 species
UCUGGUGGCACUUCCUAGAGGGUCACACCUGUACCCAUCCCGAACACAGCAGUUAAGCCUCUGGGGCCGAUGGUAGUCAAGAUUGGCGAGAGUAGGUGGUCGCCGGAA